UACGUAGGGUGCGAGCGUUGUCCGGAAUUAUUGGGCGUAAAGGGCUCGUAGGCGGUUUGUCGCGUCGGGAGUGAAAACCAGGUGCUUAACACCUGGCUUGCUUUCGAUACGGGCAGACUAGAGGUAUGCAGGGGAGAACGGAAUUCCUGGUGUAGCGGUGAAAUGCGCAGAUAUCAGGAGGAACACCGGUGGCGAAGGCGGUUCUCUGGGCAUGACCUGACGCUGAGGCGCGAAAGCUAGGGGAGCAAACAGG
rnacentral:rRNA from 1 species